AUUGAACGCUGGCGGCAGGCCUAACACAUGCAAGUCGAACGAGUGGCGGACGGGUGAGUAAUGUCUGGGAAACUGCCCGAUGGAGGGGGAUAACUACUGGAAACGGUAGCUAAUACCGCAUACCAUCGGAUUUGCCCAGGUGGGAUUAGGUAGUUGGUGGGGUAAUGGCUCACCUAGGCGACGAGCCCUAGCUGGUCUGAGAGGAUGACCAGCCACACGGGAACGGAGACACGGCCCAGACUCCUACGGGAGGCAGCAGUGGGAAAGAUUGCACAAUGGGGGCAAUCCUGAUGCAGCCAGGCGGCUUGUAUGAAGAAGGCCUUCGGGUGGUAAAGUACUUUCAGCGGGGAGGCGUUACCCGAAGAAGAAGCACCGGCUAACUCCGUGCCAGCAGCCGCGGUAAUAC
rnacentral:rRNA from 1 species